rnacentral:lncRNA from 1 species
CUCAGCUCGGCGCCAUAUUAUGGGAAUCAAAAGAUGAAGAUUACAGUACUAAUUGCGAACGUGCACAAAGCUUUCCCCAAUGUGGACACACAGGUUUACAGCUCAACCUCUAAAGUCCCAUAUCUGGCUGAGGAGACUGUGGAUCAUCCAGAACAUCACCAGUGGAAAAAAGGUGUGAAUGCAUCCUCAAAGCCCCUAAGUGAGGGAGUACAUGGAUGCUGGGCAUGAUGAAGCGCAAACCUUGAUGUGCAACACCACCUUAUGAAUCUACACUAGUUACAUUAACAUUUAGCAGACUCUUUUGUCUAAAGUGACUUACAAUUGAGGACACAUUCAGCAAAUCAACAAGAAAAGGCGAUACACCCAAGAUGUGCUAAUUAUACAAAAAAAUUAAGAAUUAAGAAUGCUUCUUAAUGCGACUUGCGCGCCCAGUCGUCCAGCCAAUCUAAGUUUUUGCCUUCUCCUCGGAAGGACCCCCAUCUAACGCCGUAGUCCAGCAGCAGCUACUCCCCCAUGGAGAUGUCCCGAAGGGCGCGGAAUGGAACGCACUCCCGUGGCCCCUGUGGCAGCGUUAGAAGCUUCACAAAGGGCCGCACGUUGUUGCGGUGCCAGGAGUGGUUCAUAAGCCUUCCGAAGGUUUUCAUGCCCGGGUGACAGGGGCAGGGCCAGGACUGGGCAUCCAGGCAAAGGGUCCUCCCACCAAGCCCUUUAAAGAAAUACAUGUAGGAGGAGGAGACACGGGAGAGGGCCUCCCGUCUCCUUAAGCCCUCCUCGUGGGACAACUCCUCCCCAUGGUAAUCACAAAUAAUUUCUCCUUUUUUAAAGGGCAUGGUGGUGACGACUCCUCCGCCUUUGUCCCCAACGGUCUGGAUCUCCAGUCCUUUCCAAGACCUCUGGACCACCGACAUGACCAGCUGCUGGUGACGGCGGACAGCACCCUCGAGAGCUACCACUCUGCCAGGACGCCGUCCACCGUCG